CUGCAAAAGACGAAUGUCCUGAUGGAAAGGAAAGUCUUGCUUCCUUUAUAAGAUCUUCAUCUCCAGUGCAUUCAUAAUCUGUUAUAAAGUUCUUUUGAAAUCCCGUUGUGCAGUUGAGUUUGGAGAAAUCAGGUUUACAAACUGCAAGGAAAUGUGGCCGCAGUCUUCCAAUCGAGUAUUUCCCAACAUCAGUAAGGACAACAGUUGCUGCGGCACCAACCAGAAAACACGUGUACACAGCACAUAGCCAGCGAAACCUACAAAACAGUUCAAUUAUAUCAAAUACGAGCCUACUCACAAUGGACCCGCUUACGCAGAGGUCUUGCCUACACGUAAAAACGCGCAAGUUUUUACAAAUCUGCAAACAAGUUGGAACAAGAUUGUUGUCAGGCCGAUAUCAGGACGUGUCCACGUUGCUUGUUUGCAGUUGUUGUGACAAG